UUGCCAAUUUCCUUUUGAGCUUCUUCCCAGAAUCUGACUUUAUUAUACCUGAUCGUCCAGAAGAAAAAUAUAAACUGUGCACAGAGGAGAUAUCUACAUUUCCAUCUAAAAUAACAUUUUUCUGGUGCGUUAGUUUGCUGAGGAAAGGAUGUAAAACCACACUAAACUUAGAUCAUCUGUGGAACUUGUAUCCUAAACAAGCUUUAACAACUAUUAAUGGGAAAACAGGUGGAGUCGGUGAAACUGUUAAGCAAAUCUUAAAAACAUUUAAAAAUAGAAGAGCACCAUGUUCUGUUUUUGGGCCCAUCUUGAAAGCUAUUAGGUCAGAAUUUGUCUUUGCUGCAAGUCUCAAAUUCUGUUCUGAUUUCCUAACAUUCUGCAAUAUUUUUCUA